ensembl:processed_transcript Gm43223 predicted gene 43223
AGGGUUUCUGCUCUGCCCAAAGGCACAAACUUCGCCAACAGAUUUAUUAAAGCUUGGGUUUGGGGGUAGUUUGAUGAGCAGGUUGCUCAACCUCAAAGCCCCGUUGGGCUGGAAGACUUGGAGAAGUGCAGAGUUCAUCAGAAAGACAGCAGUAGGUGGGUAUCUGGGACAGAGAGUCAAAAGUGAAAAUGGCUAUCAGACCAAAGGGAGAGGAAAGGGGCCUGCUAGAGGCCUUUUUCUGAGAGGAGCAUCAGCCACCCAAGAGGGCAUAGAGAAAGGAGAGAAGAUGGAACACAGUGGGUACCUUCCCACAGCACACAAAGAAACCCCAGCUUCUUUCCUUCGAGACAGGUGUGGUCCUGAGGUUUGCCAUUUAUAGUUCAGACAAACCAUCAGCCUCUGCACAAGGACCAGUUCGGUUCCAAAUUCCCCACGGUUGAUGCUCUCUCAAAUCUGAGUGAUCAUGAAGGAGGCCAUGUAUUGAACAGCUCCCGUAAAAAGCUGUGAUCAUCACCGGAAAGGUGAUUUCACCGUGCAGUGAGACAUGAACCUGGAUGUCCUAGCAGUACAGUGAGGAAACUAAUCAUUUUAUGUUUUGGCUCAUUCAUAUCACAUUAAGCUAAUUGGAAAUUCUGUAAGUCAUUUAAGAGUCAAAAUUCCAGAUGAAAAGGGAAUUCUGUCUCUUGCCCAGACUAUCAACCCAUCCCAUCCCCAAAAUAAAUGUAAACAAUUCUCAGUUGUAAAAACAUGACACUUAAGUAUGGAAAUCACCAUCAUUACUAAUUCGUGUGAAUACUUCACAUUUUAAAAGCAACUGUAAUUGUUUUAAAUAAUAGAAUUUCAAUUGCCUUUAAAACCUUGCCUCAGCAUUUUGAAAUUUAAAAAGCUCUGUUAAGACUUCCGUGUUUCUGGGGAGAUUGGGCUGUGUCAGGAGGGCCUGGGAGGAGAGGGGCCCUCCCUCUGGAUGUAAAGUGAAUAAAUAAAUGAAUGGAAAAAAGA